GGAGAGGUGUCCGAGCGGUCGAAGGAGCACGCCUGGAAAGCGUGUGUACCGAAAGGUACCGAGGGUUCGAAUCCCUCCCUCUCCGCCA
rnacentral:tRNA from 1 species